rnacentral:rRNA from 1 species
GGAUGCUACCAUACCAGCACUAAUGCACCGGAUCCCAUCAGAACUCCGCAGUUAAGCGUGCUCGGGCAAGAUUAGUACUAGUAUGGGUGACCUCCCGGAAAGUCUUCGUGUUGCAUUCA